AUUCCAAUCGAACUCGGAGAUAGCUGGUUCUCCCCGAAAUAGCUUUAGGGCUAGCCUCGAUUUAGAUUACCGGGGGUAGAGCACUGAAUGGGCUAGGGGGCCACAAAGCUUACCGAACCCUAUCAAACUUCGAAUACCGGAUAAUUGAUGAUCGGGAGUCAGACAGUGUGAGAUAAGUUUCAUUGUCGAAAGGGAAACAGCCCAGAUCUACGACUAAGGUCCCAAAGUUCAAGUUAAGUGGAAAAGGAUGUGCAAUUGCGUAGACAACCAGGAUGUUGGCUUAGUAGCAGCCAUUCAUUCAAAGAGUGCGUAAUAGCUCACUGGUCGAGUGAUUGUGCGCCGAAAAUGUAACGGGGCUAAACUUGACACCGAAGUCUAGGCAGAAGGAAACUUCUGGGUAGGGGAGCAACGUGUACGGGCAGAAGCAGAAGCGGAAGCGACUGUGGACUGUACAGGAGAGAGAAUGCCGGCAUGAGUAGCGAGAGCAAAGUGAGAAUCUUUGCCGUCGAAAGCCUAAGGUUUCCUGAGGAAGGCUCGUCCUCUCAGGGUAAGUCGGGACCUAAGCCGAGGACAAUAGUCGUAGGCGAUGGACAAUCGGUUAAUAUUCCGAUACCGCCGAGCAACCGGAUGCAGUGACACAGAAGGAUAGGCAGAGCGUGGCGAUGGUAGACCACGUCCAAGCAGUGAGGCUGUUGUGUAGUGAAGUACGCACAACGUAAGGCUGGGCUGUGAUGGGGAACGAUUACGAUCGGUAAGCUGCUGAAUUCACGCUGGCGAGAAAAGCUGCUACGAAGCGAAGGCGCCCGUACCGCAAACCGACACAGGUAGGCGAGGAGAGAAUCCUAAGACGAGCGGGAGAACCCUUGUUAAGGAACUCGGCAAAAUGACUCCGUAACUUAGGGAGAAGGAGUGCCCAGGAAUGGGCCGCAGAGAAUAGACCCAAGCGACUGUUUACCAAAAACACAGGUCUGUGCGAAGUAGAGAUACGACGUAUACGGGCUGACACCUGCCCAGUGCCGGAAGGUUAAGGGGAAAUGUUAGGGCAACCGAAGCAUGGAACUUAAGCCCCGGUGAACGGCGGCCGUAACUAUAACGGUCCUAAGGUAGCGAAAUUCCUUGUCGGGUAAGUUCCGACCCGCACGAAUGGUGUAACGAUUUGGGUACUGUCUCAACAAGGGACCCGGCGAAAUUGUAGUAUGUGUGAAGAUGCACAUUACCCGCGAUAGGACGGAAAGACCCCGUAGAGCUUUACUGUAGUUUAACAUUGGAUUCCGGUAACAUAUGCACAGGAUAGGUGGGAGGCGGAGAAGCAGUGAUUUCGGUUGCUGCAGAGCCGACGUUGGGAUACCACUCUUGUGUUACUGGGGUUCUAACCUGUGGCCGUGAUCCGGCACAGGAACAGUGUUAGAUGGGCAGUUUGACUGGGGCGGUCGCCUCCAAAAGAGUAACGGAGGCGUCCAAAGGUUCCCUCAGAAUGGUUGGAAACCAUUCGAAGAGUACAAAGGCAGAAGGGAGCCUGACUGCGAGACCGACAGGUCGAGCAGGGACGAAAGUCGGGCUUAGUGAUCCGGCGGUAUAGAGUGGAAUUGCCGUCGCUCAACGGAUAAAAGCUACCUCGGGGAUAACAGGCUUAUCUCCCCCAAGAGUCCACAUCGACGGGGAGGUUUGGCACCUCGAUGUCGGCUCGUCGCAUCCUGGGGCUGAAGCAGGUCCCAAGGGUUUGGCUGUUCGCCAAUUAAAGCGGCACGCGAGCUGGGUUCAGAACGUCGUGAGACAGUUCGGUCCCUAUCCAUCGUGGGCGCAGGAGAUUUGAGAAGAGCUGUCCUCAGUACGAGAGGACCGGGAUGGACGCACCAAGGGUGUAUCAGUUGUCACGCCAGUGGCACAGCUGGGUAGCCAAGUGCGGAUCGGAUAAACGCUGAAGGCAUCUAAGCGUGAAGCCGACUUCAAGAUAAGAUCUCCCAUCCGCAAGGAGUAAGGCCCCAUGUAGACCACAUGGUUGAUAGGUCGCAGGUGGAAGUGCAGUAAUGUACGCAGCUGAGCGAUACUAAUAGGCCGAGGGCUUGAUCAA
rnacentral:rRNA from 1 species